GACGAACGCUGGCGGCGUGCUUAACACAUGCAAGUCGAACGGUAAGGCUCCAGCUUGCUGGGGUACACGAGUGGCGAACGGGUGAGUAACACGUGGGUGACCUGCCCUGCACUUCGGGAUAAGCCUGGGAAACUGGGUCUAAUACCGGAUAGGACCAUGGUGUGGAUACUGUGGUGGAAAGUUUUUUCGGUGUGGGAUGGGCCCGCGGCCUAUCAGCUUGUUGGUGGGGUAAUGGCCUACCAAGGCGGCGACGGGUAGCCGGCCUGAGAGGGUGGACGGCCACAUUGGGACUGAGACACGGCCCAGACUCCUACGGGAGGCAGCAGUGGGGAAUAUUGCACAAUGGGCGGAAGCCGGAUGCAGCGACGCCGCGUGGGGGAUGACGGCCUUCGGGUUGUAAACUCCUUUCACCAUCGACGAAGGGUUUCUGACGGUAGAUGGAGAAGAAGCACCGGCUAACUACGU
rnacentral:rRNA from 1 species